UCCAGUAUUUACUCAUAGAAUUCCGCUAGUAAUUUCUCCAGAGAAGGAAUUUUUCAGGGAAACAAGUUUCGUUCCGUUUCGUUAUUAAAUAUCAGUGUUACAAAUUAAGUGUAUCGUUUCGUAUCGACAUGAAAAAAGCAUAUCGCAUACCCUUACCCUAAACCAACGGUUCGGGAGGACGUUGACCUGGUCCGCUCGUUUGGCGUUUGUUGGUUGUCAGUGUUGUUGUUGUUGUUAUUGAUAAGGAGAACCGUUGCAGAAGUGUCAUUUACUGCAAAUCGUCGGCGGUUGGAUAGAAGACGGACGAAGACCGGUUGGAAACUAAAGCCCCCACACAGGUGUCGUCGUCGGUUGGUAAUCCUUGGGG